AUUUAAUAUAUUAUUUAUAAUUUGAGUUUUAUAUAGGUUAAAAUAAAUGAAUUAAUUUUUAUUAUUUAUUUAGAAAAAAUAUUGUUUAUUAUAGUAAAUUUGUAUUGUGAAAGAGUUAUUAAAAAUUUAAAUAAUAAAAAUUCAUUUUUUGUACCUUGUGUAUCAGGGUUUAUUAAAAAAAAUUAAUGAGUUAAAUUUCUCGAAUUUAAAAGGGCUAAAUAAAUAUUGUUAUUAUUGUUGAAUAAAUAAAUUUAAUUUUUUUUUAGUAAUGAAAUGUUAUUCGUUUUUAAAUAUAUCUAGUUUUUUAAGAAAAAAUUUUAAUUUUAUUAUAAUAUAUUAAUUUAAUUUUUUAUUUUUAAAUUAGUUAUUGUAUUUUAUAUUUUUAGGGAUAAGCUUAGAAAUAGAUUAUUUUAAAAUAUUUAAAAUUUUACAAUUUAUAGAAUUAGAAAUUUUCACUAAUAAAAAUUUGUUAUUAUUAAUUGUAUAAGAGUUAAAAUUUAUAUUUUUUUUAAAAUUAUUUAUUAAAAUAAAAAUUUAAAUUUUAAAAAUUUUGAAAUACUGUUAAAAUGAGUAUAAAUUUAUGUAAAAGUAAUUAGAUUAUAAAGGUAAAAUAAAGGAAUUCGGCAAACAUAUUUUUCACCUGUUUAUUAAAAACAUGUCUUUAAGAGUAUAAUUUAAAGUCUGACCUGCCCCCUGAGUAAUUAAAUGGCCGCGGUAAUUUGACCGUGCUAAGGUAGCAUAAUCAUUAGUUUUUUAAAUGGAAGCUGGAAUGAAAGGUUGAAUGAAGGAAUAACUGUCUCUGUUUUAUUUAUUUAGAAAUUUAUUAUUAAGUAAAAAAGCUUAAAUUGAAUUUAAAGACGAGAAGACCCUAUAGAACUUAAUUUUUAUUUUAUUAUAUUAAUUUUAUUAUUGAUAUUGUUUAAUUAAAUAAAAAUUUAAUUGGGGUGAUUGAAAAAUUGAAAAAACUUUUUCUUAUUUUUACAUAGAUUUAUGAAUAAUUGAUCCAAUAUUUUUGAUUAUAAGAUAAAGUUACCUUAGGGAUAACAGCGUUAUUUUUUUUGAGAGUUCUUAUCGAAAAAAGAGAUUGCGACCUCGAUGUUGGAUUAAAUUUUAUUUUUGGUGUAGAAGCUAAAAAAUUAAGUCUGUUCGACUUUUAAAAAUUUACAUGAUCUGAGUUUAAACCGGUGUAAGCCAGGUUGGUUUCUAUCUUGAAUUUAAAUAAGUAUUUUAGUACGAAAGGAGUAGAUAU
rnacentral:rRNA from 1 species